rnacentral:tmRNA from 1 species
GGGGAUGUAAAGGUUUCGACGGGGAUCGUGAGCCUUGGUAAGCGAGCAGUGAAGCGGAACUGCUUUAAAGUCCGCACAUAAAAAAUAAACGACGACUAUACAGUUGCGUUAGCAGCCUAAUGGCUGCUCGUCCUGCCUGAAUUUACCGCGGUUCGGGUAAGGGCGUCAGUUAGCGGUGAACGCUUGUUGCCUACUCCUUUCAGCAUCAAGUGUAUUUAAAGGAUACCGAAAGUUUAAGUUCGUUGGUAAACGUGAACCUGAGGGAAUUUUAAAUUGCCAAAUACGCUCGUAGAAAGCCUUGGUAAGUGGUUUUCGGACAGGGGUUCAACUCCCCUCAUCUCCACU